GUACAUGAAUACCACCACAUCAACUGCCAAUAUGUUAUGAGGCUUUGGUAACAAUCUGGAGUCUCCAGGGAGCUCUGCAGCAGUUCAAAAACUAAAGGUGGAAACUGUCCCUGCUCUUGCUGAUGGUGUACCACCCAAUUAAAGAUGGCAAGCAGGACCAGUCGUGGAUGAGUUGUGAUUGCUGACAUCAGAACCACAUGAGACAUCAGAGGAGAUUCGCCUAUCUGAGGAGAUAGUUUCACAUCAGUGUCAAUGUGAAACACAAACACAUGA